GAGGAAGGUGGGGACGAGGUCAAGUCAUCAUGCCCCUUACGUCUAGGGCUGCACACAUGCUACAAUGGGCGGUACAGAGGGCUGCUAAACCGCGAGGUGGAGCCAAUCCCUAAAGCCGCUCUCAGUUCAGAUUGCAGGCUGCAACUCGCCUGCAUGAAGUUGGAGUUGCUAGUAAUCCCGGAUCAGCACUGCCGGGGUGAAUACGUUCCCGGGCCUUGUACACACCGCCCGUCAAACCACGAAAGUUGGCAACACCCGAAGCCGGUGGCCUAACCGCAAGGAAGGAGCCGUCGAAGGUGGGGUCGGUGAUUG
rnacentral:rRNA from 1 species